rnacentral:pre_miRNA from 1 species
UUUCGGUGAACAUUCAACGCUGUUGGUGAGUUUGGUCACUGAUGUUGAACCAUCGACCGUUGAGUGUACCCUGUGG